rnacentral:lncRNA from 1 species
CUGUGAUGGGUGUUUGUUAGCUAUCUAGAAGUUGUCCAGGGCUCCCUGAGGGAGGCCAGCACAAGAGCUCUGCCAUAAAAGGACAUUGGACAGAAGUGAAGAGUCCAAUCAGAAACUCUUUUUGAGAGACUGAACGCAAAGCAUUCAGAGAGUCAGCAGGCUGGAGAGGCCAAGACACACACACGAAGAAGGCAGUUCCUUCUACGUGUGGGGCUUCUCCACUGCCAGGUUCCUGCAGCAAGUAGCAGUCACCAGCACCCAGUGGCCAGCAGCUUCCUCCACCACCUCCUGCUUGACACUGGAGUAAAUUCCAAAACAUGGCACCACCCUGUGAAUAGCUUCCUUGACACCCAAGAAGGUCAAUUAGACUGCGGUUGCAUGGAUGCCAUCUGGAUUUUCCAGAAGGAUCCAGAGAAAACGUAGCUGGAUACCAGACAUCCUGCUAAGAAGAAAUGCCUUAGGGGCUGGGCCCAGCAAAGUGUCUACCGGGAGUAGUUGACAAGCCCAGUUGGAGAGAGAUUCUAAAUCAUUAAUUUUAAGCCACUGGAAAUUAAAAGGUCAAAACUGGGCAAGUGGCAACAAAGAGACUUUCAACCUGAAAACUGGUCAUCAUUUCAAAAGCCCCAUUUGGAAGCAAACCCUGGGAUUAUCAAGGAGAGAGCCAAGCAGGAUGAGCUGCAAUGGUGGUGGAGACAGAGGGUGGAUGUCUUGACUUAAAAACAUAGAGCUACAUAAACACCCCUUGGUCUUCUGCUUACCAAUAAAGAAAUAGAGAACGACCUUGCUUAA